UGAAACCCAAGUAUUUUUCUUAAUUUUUUCCCUUAAUAUGGACCAUAUAUUUCGUAAUAUAUGAGAAUAUCUCAACAAUUAGAUUUUAUCUAAACUAACCAUAAAUACAUUGUUCUCUGACCACAAUAUGCAUAUACUUAUUCUAAAGCAAAUCUUACCAUAAUAUUUUCUCCAGAGUAACCGUAACCUCAAUUUCCGUUAGAACUUUUUUCAUUCAAUUCAGAUCCCGUUAUUUGCUCGCUUGAAUUACUCUAUAUACUCCAUUCUAAGUAACAAAUUUAUUGCCCCCGCCCAUAGUCAUCAAUCUGCAUUCAUUCACAGAGAUUUAAUCACUUCAAUAUCUUUAAAAAAUCUAUUUUCGGAAACAAAUUUAUGUCUACAAAAGAAUUAUAAUCAGGCAUAUACCAAAAUUCUAACAAAUCCAAAGAUUUUUGCCAUGAUUUGAUGCGGGUAGAAUAUUGUUUGCGUGUAGAGAGCUAGGGAUUCUUAACCUAAGUAAUACUCUAUAAAUACUCUUGUGUCUAACGUCUCAUAACAUCAUCAUCUACAACUCGCUAUUGCUAAUCCAUAAUACACCAAUUCAUAAUUCUUCUGCAUUCACCAUAGAAACCCUACCACUUUCUUAUACCACUAUAUAUACUUCUCAUACAUAGAGACUUUCGUCACCAAACUUGCAAACUACUUAUUCUAUAUCAAAGUUAAACUACUCUAAUGGUUGAUUCUUUGCCUACCUAGUCGAACAGCAAGUUCAAGUGAAAAUCACACACUCUUGGUAUGCACUAUUCUUUUUUUCUUUAUGUCUCGAAUUGCUAUAAUACAUUUGAUUUAUCAACUACUAAAUUCUGUAAUUUAUUUGGUCUGAAUUAUAUUAUAUGUAUAAACUUUCUGAUUUGAAAAUGUCAUUUUUUGUCAUAUGCCACUACACCUACCGAAGGAGCCAAAUUAGGACAGACGGUCUACCAAUUAGACACAACCUGACAACCUAUAUUCCUUCUACAAAUUAUAUAAAAAAAACAUUACAUGCUCAAGAAAAGCAUCUCAGUUUAGCUAUCACAAUCAUACAUAGUAUAUUCUAAUCUAAAUUAUUAAUUUUUAGAUGUUUCUACAUGUUUUUAGAUGUACUUAUUUCAUGAAAACCAAUUACUAAUUUUCCAGAUGAGGGUGAACCACUAUUCGAUUUUACACACUGAAGAAGACUAUCACACCGAAUCUGUAGAACCAGAAAAUACAGAUCAUGACAUUGCAUCCUCAAGUGCACGUGAGGAUUAUACCAAAGCCAUUACUAAUCGUUUUGCAAACGUCUUUAGCAAGCUAUCUAAAGUAAAUGUAUCAUCAAAACAUGAAUCUGUGUCGAGUACUAGAAAUGACAAUGGUAUAUUAAAUUUACGACACUAAAAAAGACUUAAGACUAACAACUAUUCAUAGUAUAACACAAACCGAAAUCUUAGAAGGUGAAACUGGCAUUUUCCAAAUCAUCAAUUGUUGUUCUAAAAAUUGAAAUUGAAGGACAUAAACAAUAGCAAGUCAAGAUGGAGAGUAGAAAAGUGACUGACUUUGAUGAGAUGGGGAGACUGGUCGAAGUCUUGAAGCUCUCUAGCGAGCAAACAUGACAACUGAGCAGCUUCCAAAGCCAUUACCCAAGCCCUGUGUUGGCGGGACGAAGUGUCAGAAGACUGGCGGGGAUUGGGUGAUUAUUCAUUAACAGCUAACCUCAAUAUAAUGCGUGCCUCUGUUAUGCUUCAACAGUGUAUUUAUGUGUAUUUAUAUAACUUUUUACGAGAUAUUUUCUCUUGUAUUUUUCAAAUUAGUUGUGAAGAAAUAGGGAAGUGAUGAUUUGCGCUAAAAAGUGGAUGCUGAAUCUCUCUAAUCUUCAAUACCACUUUGUUCAUUCCAUUUUCUUUUCUUUUUCAUUUGCAACUUGCAAGAAGUCAACGAUAAUAUCAAAGAUAUUGUUAAUCACAAAGAAACUUAUCUUCGGGUAUGGUUUGGACACACCGGGAAAAUGGGAGGGAAAUUGUUAGUGGAUCAUUUUACGGGUCACAUGAGCUGUUCUCUCUCUCUCACACGACGUGAGCUCUCUCUCUCUCUCUCUCUCCUCUCUCUCUCUCUUCGACUGUAGUUUUGGUCCGUACAGAGAGGAAGUGAUCUCCGCAAAGAGAGGGAGACAAGUGCGAUCCGGAAAAAUUAAGAAAACAUAAGCUUUUCUUACCAAAUUUCUGACCUAAAAUUUGGUAAGAAAUAUUUCCUACAAAAUUCCUACGAAAUUGUCACCAAAUAUAUAGUUCAAAGAAAAUUCGUAAGAAAUUUCCUACAAAACUAGUCGUCAG
rnacentral:lncRNA from 1 species